GGUAUAGCUUAGUUGGUUAAAGCGCUGGUUUGUGGCACCAGAGACCAUCGGUUCAAGUCCGAUUAUC
rnacentral:tRNA from 1 species